UCCCACCUGGGGUGGGACUGUGCUC
rnacentral:miRNA from 1 species